UACCACUUUAGAACACAGGAUGUCAGCGC
rnacentral:piRNA from 1 species